rnacentral:rRNA from 1 species
UACGGGGGGGGCAAGCGUUGUUCGGAAUUACUGGGCGUAAAGGGCUCGUAGGCGGCCAACUAAGUCAGACGUGAAAUCCCUCGGCUUAACCGGGGAACUGCGUCUGAUACUGGAUGGCUUGAGUUCGGGAGAGGGAUGCGGAAUUCCAGGUGUAGCGGUGAAAUGCGUAGAGAUCGUAAGGAAGGCCAGUGGCGAAGGCGAGUUCCUGGACAGUUACUGACGCUGAGGCACGAAGGCCAGGGGAGCAAACGGG